rnacentral:rRNA from 1 species
AAAAGAGACAUUUGGGGGCAUAAGAACUCGGCCGCGAGAGGUGAAAUUCUAAGACCGGCCGGGGUCUAACAAGAGCGAAAGCAUUUGCCAAGAAUGUUUUCAUUGAUCAAGAACGAAAGUUGGAGGAGCGAAAACGAUCAGAUACCGUUGUAGUUCCAACUUUAAACUAUGCCGACUGUCGGGGCCGGUUCGGUACAUCCGUACUAAUUGACCUCCCAGGGAAACCCUAGCAGGGUUCUGGGGGGAGUACGGUCGCAAGUCUGAAACUUAAAGGAAUUGACGGAAGGGCACCACCAGGAGUGGAGCCUGCGGCUUAAUUUGACUCAACGCGGGGAAACUUUCCCGGUCCGGACAUCGGAAGGAUUGACAGACUAAUCGCUCUUUCAUGAUACGGUGGGGAGUGGUGCAUGGCCGUUCAUAGUUGGUGGAGCGAUUUGUCUGGUUAAUUCUGUUAACGUACGAGAUUUUACCCUUUAUUUAGUAGAUUUAAUUGGGGUUUAAAUCAACUAUUUAAAGGGACUAACGAUAUUUAAAAUCGUUGGAUGAAAAACAAUAACAGGUCUGUUAUGCCCUUAGAUGUCCGGGGCCGC